GGAGGCGUACGUGUCCUGGUGGUCACCCCAGUCUUCAAAACUGGUGAGGUCGAGCAUCUCGGCUUGGCAGGUUCGAUUCCUGUCCGUCUCCGCCA
rnacentral:tRNA from 1 species